rnacentral:rRNA from 2 species
CCUACGGGGGGCUGCAGUGGGGAAUUUUGGGCAAUGGGCGAAAGCCUGACCCAGCAACGCCGCGUGAAGGAUGAAGUAUUUCGGUAUGUAAACUUCGAAAGAAUAGGAAGAAUAAAUGACGGUACUAUUUAUAAGGUCCGGCUAACUACGUGCCAGCAGCCGCGGUAAUACGUAGGGACCAAGCGUUGUUCGGAUUUACUGGGCGUAAAGGGCGCGUAGGCGGCUCUGUAAGUCACUUGUGAAAUCUCUGAGCUUAACUCAGAACGGCCAAGUGAUACUGCAGAGCUAGAGUGUAGAAGGGGCAAUCGGAAUUCUUGGUGUAGCGGUGAAAUGCGUAGAUAUCAAGAGGAACACCUGAGGUGAAGACGGGUUGCUGGUCUAACACUGACGCUGAGGCGCGAAAGCCAGGGGAGCAAACGGGAUUAGAUACCCCAGUAGUC